rnacentral:rRNA from 1 species
UAGGGAAUCUUCGGCAAUGGGGGGAACCCUGACCGAGCAACGCCGCGUGAGUGAAGAAGGUUUUCGGAUCGUAAAGCUCUGUUGUUAAGGAAGAACGAGUGUGAGAAUGGAAAGUUCAUGCUGUGACGGUACUUAACCAGAAAGGGACGGCUAACUACGUGCCAGCAGCCGCGGUAAUACGUAGGUCCCGAGCGUUGUCCGGAUUUAUUGGGCGUAAAGCGAGCGCAGGCGGUUAGAAAAGUGUGAAGUGAAAGGCAGUGGCUCAACCAUUGUAGGCUUUGGAAACUGUUUAACGUGAGUGCAGAAGGGGAGAGUGAAAUUCCAUGUGUAGCGGUGAAAUGCGUAGAUAUAUGGAGGAACACCAGUGGCGAAGGCGACUCUCUGGUCUGUAACUGACGCUGAGGCUCGAAAGCGUGGGUAGCAAACAGG